GACGAACGCUGGCGGCGUGCUUAACACAUGCAAGUCGAACGAAGAGCGAUGGAAGCUUGCUUCUAUCAAUCUUAGUGGCGAACGGGUGAGUCACGCGUAAUCAACCUGCCCUUCAGAGGGGGACAACAGUUGGAAACGACUGCUAAUACCGCAUACGAUCUAAUCUCGGCAUCGAGGAUAGAUGAAAGGUGGCCUCUACAUGUAAGCUAUCACUGAAGGAGGGGAUUGCGUCUGAUUAGCUAGUUGGAGGGGUAACGGCCCACCAAGGCGAUGAUCAGUAGCCGGUCUGAGAGGAUGAACGGCCACAUUGGGACUGAGACACGGCCCAGACUCCUACGGGAGGCAGCAGUGGGGAAUCUUCCGCAAUGGACGAAAGUCUGACGGAGCAACGCCGCGUGAGGGAUGACGGCCUUCGGGUUGUAAAGCUCGGUUAAUCGGGACGAAAGGCCUUCUUGCGAAUAGUGAGAAGGAUUGACGGUACCGGAAUAGAAAGCCACGGCUAACUACGUG
rnacentral:rRNA from 1 species